CCCAGGAGGUGGAGGUUGCAGUGAGCCGAGAUCGCGCUAUUGCACUCCCGCCUGGGUG
rnacentral:precursor_RNA from 1 species